rnacentral:rRNA from 1 species
CUUGACAUCCCUGGAAUCCCUUGGAAACAGGGGAGUUGCCCUUCGGGGAGCCAGGAGACAGGUGCUGCAUGGCUGUCGUCAGCUCGUGUCGUGAGAUGUUGGGUUAAGUCCCGCAACGAGCGCAACCCUUGUCACUAGUUGCCAUCAUUUAGUUGGGCACUCUAGUGAGACUGCCGGUGACAAACCGGAGGAAGGUGGGGAUGACGUCAAGUCCUCAUGGCCCUUAUGGGUAGGGCUUCACACGUCAUACAAUGGUCGGUACAGAGGGUUGCCAAGCCGCGAGGUGGAGCCAAUCCCUUAAAGCCGAUCGUAGUCCGGAUCGUAGUCUGCAACUCGACUACGUGAAGUCGGAAUCGCUAGCAAUCGCAGAUCAGCAUGCUGCGGUGAAUACGUUCCCGGGUCUU